rnacentral:lncRNA from 1 species
ACUAAAUAAGAUUAUUAUUAGAGUUAAAUCUCGUCUGUACUAGCCAAAUUUCACAAAUUUAAAGUUGUUUAUAAAAAAAAUAUAUCAUGAAUGAUGGUUAAUUACGUUUUUUCGGUUAUCAGUUAGACCGCAUGGUUCUAUUAUUCAAAUAGGAAAACACCUGAGACUUUAAAUCGCAUGGUUCUAUUAUCAUAGGGAAACACCCGAGACGUCCCAACAAUAUAUAGGUGCUCCUAUUAUUUGAGGAACAUUACAUAGUUGUGUACACACACAUGGCGGCACAGAACACGAUCGGAAAUUCAUUUGACGAUAUCUAAACGUUUCGACACGAAGUGAAAAACAUCGUACGCCACGUGGGCUCUUACAUUUGUCGCUGUAUGCACCAUUUCUUGUCUAUAGGCGCAGGGUGCACAUCCUUCCCGAUCACUGCAACACAA